AUUGGCCGACGAGAUCUGUAUAUUAUCGGCCAGAUAGUUGGUUGCAUUCGGCGAUGAUGGCUGCAUUUUCACGGCGGCGGAGGCGGCUGGUCCGGAGUUUGAUGGGCCUUGAUUGCUGGAUCGGCUGUCGCCGGCGGACGCGGAUCCGUUGGAUCCACCGGAAGCACGAAAGCUCAGUCGCUCCGCAAGUGGUUCACUGAGCGGCGUCUGGGCGAAGCCAAUUCCCGGCGCUGUGCUGCUGCAGGCGGUGGAUGAGGGCGAUGCCAGUUGGCCGUCGAAUUGGGUAAAGUUGCGGCUAUUGGUGCGUCGGAUAAUCGUCAGUGAGCCGUGUCCUGCAAGAAAGCCGUUGAGAAUUCAGUGGGCGAAGAACUGAAUCGGUUGCUUAUAUAUAUAGUUAUAUCACUCUAACUGUUGACACAUUGAUUAAGGACCUACUGGGAUCUAACGAAGCACACAAGGCAGCCCCAAAGGUCUUGAAAAUGCAAGAAGGGUUUGGGUGAAACCAGUACAGUGGUAACAGAGCUAUGCGAACCAUAUGCAAAAUUAGGAUAACAGGUAUAGAAUUGUGUGAAGAAAUUUUAAAU
ensembl:ncRNA lncRNA:CR45013 long non-coding RNA:CR45013